GAUGAACGCUAGCGACAGGCCUAACACAUGCAAGUCAAGGGGCAGCACAUGAGUAGCAAUACGAUGGUGGCGACCGGCGCACGGGUGAGUAACACGUAUGCAACCUGCCUGUAAGAGGGGAAUAACCCGGAGAAAUUCGGACUAAUACCGCAUAAUACCACGAGACUGCAUGGUUUUGUGGUUAAACAUUUAUGUCUUACAGAUGGGCAUGCGUAUGAUUAGAUAGUUGGUAGGGUAACGGCCUACCAAGUCUAUGAUCAUUAGGGGUUCUGAGAGGAAGGUCCCCCACACUGGUACUGAGACACGGACCAGACUCCUACGGGAGGCAGCAGUGAGGAAUAUUGGUCAAUGGGCGAGAGCCUGAACCAGCCAAGUCGCGUGAAGGAAGAAGGUUCUAUGGAUUGUAAACUUCUUUUGCAGGGGAAUAAAGGACGGUACGUGUACUGUUUUGUAUGUACCUUGCGAAUAAGGAUCGGCUAACUCCGUGCCAGCCGCCGCGGUAAAAC
rnacentral:rRNA from 1 species